rnacentral:snoRNA from 1 species
CCGCCUGGUGCCUCGCUCGGUGUCGGUGUCCCCCACCACAUCUUGAGCUGGAUGCCGGGAUGCAAAGCAAGCCUCGGCCUGGGUUUGCGUCUCCGGCAACGGGCCAGAACAACCUCACAGCAGGGUCACUUUUGAGUGCGGCCACACCAAGGUUCUCCCGAUGGUGGCGCUGUAAUUAUCGACCCUGACAAUC